rnacentral:rRNA from 1 species
UUGAACGCUGGCGGCAGGCCUCACCCCUGCCAGUCGAGCGGAUGAAGGGAGCUUGCUCCUGGAUUCAGCGGCGGACGGGUGAGUAAUGCCUAGGAAUCUGCCCGGUAGUGGGGGAUAACGUCCGGAAACGGGCGCUAAUACCGCAUACGUCCUGAGGGAGAAAGUGGGGGAUCUUCGGACCUCACGCUAUCAGAUGAGCCUAGGUCGGAUUAGCUAGUUGGUGGGGUAAAGGCCUACCAAGGCGACGAUCCGUAACUGGUCUGAGAGGAUGAUCAGUCACACUGGAACUGAGACACGGUCCAGACUCCUACGGGAGGCAGCAGUGGGGAAUAUUGGACAAUGGGCGAAAGCCUGAUCCAGCCAUGCCGCGUGUGUGAAGAAGGUCUUCGGAUUGUAAAGCACUUUAAGUUGGGAGGAAGGGCAGUAAGUUAAUACCUUGCUGUUUUGACGUUACCAACAGAAUAAGCACCGGCUAACUUCGUG